rnacentral:rRNA from 1 species
AUACGUAGGGGGCGAGCGUUGUCCGGAAUGAUUGGGCGUAAAGGGCGUGUAGGCGGCUAUUUGUGUCCGAUGUGAAAGUCCAACUUUCAAGGUUGGAAUUGCAUUAGAAACUGGGUAGCUUGAGUGCAGGAGAGGUUAUCGGAAUUCCCGGUGUAGCGGUGAAAUGCGUAGAGAUCGGGAGGAACAUCAGUGGCGAAGGCGGGUAACUGGACUGUAACUGACGCUGAGACGCGAAAGUGUGGGGAGCAAACAGGAUUAGAUACCCUGGUAGUCCACACCCUAAACGAUGAAUGCUAGGUGUAGGAGGUAUCGACCCCUUCUGCGCCGUCGUAAACACAUUAAGCAUUCCGCCUGGGGAGUACGGUCGCAAGAUUAAA